GUGCUUGCACUGAUUUCAACAAUGAAGCGAGUGGCGAACUGGUGAGUAACACGUGGGAAAUCUGCCCAGAAGCAGGGGAUAACACUUGGAAACAGGUGCUAAUACCGUAUAACAACAAAAUCCGCAUGGAUUUUGUUUGAAAGGUGGCUUCGGCUAUCACUUCUGGAUGAUCCCGCGGCGUAUUAGUUAGUUGGUGAGGUAAAGGCCCACCAAGACGAUGAUACGUAGCCAACCUGAGAGGGUAAUCGGCCACAUUGGGACUGAGACACGGCCCAAACUCCUACGGGAGGCAGCAGUAGGGAAUCUUCCACAAUGGACGAAAGUCUGAUGGAGCAAUGCCGCGUGAGUGAAGAAGGGUUUCGGCUCGUAAAACUCUGUUGUUAAAGAAGAACACCUUUGAGAGUAACUGUUCAAGGGUUGACGGUAUUUAACCAGAAAGCCACGGCUAACUACGUGCCAGCAGCCGCGGUAAUACGUAGGUGGCAAGCGUUGUCCGGAUUUAUUGGGCGUAAAGCGAGCGCAGGCGGUUUUUUAAGUCUGAUGUGAAAGCCUUCGGCUUAACCGGAGAAGUGCAUCGGAAACUGGGAGACUUGAGUGCAGAAGAGGACAGUGGAACUCCAUGUGUAGCGGUGGAAUGCGUAGAUAUAUGGAAGAACACCAGUGGCGAAGGCGGCUGUCUAGUCUGUAACUGACGCUGAGGCUCGAAAGCAUGGGUAGCGAACAGGAUUAGAUACCCUGGUAGUCCAUGCCGUAAACGAUGAGUGCUAAGUGUUGGAGGGUUUCCGCCCUUCAGUGCUGCAGCUAACGCAUUAAGCACUCCGCCUGGGGAGUACGACCGCAAGGUUGAAACU
rnacentral:rRNA from 1 species